AUAAGCCGGCAGAAAUCACGAAGGAGAUCGUCUUCAUCUUCACCAAUAAUCGAUGUGUUCUUUUUACUUAAUGCUUUUGGCUUGAGAACUUUGUACUUCUACUCGUCUAAAAGAACUAUUAUUUUUGGGGCAGGUGUUGUUAUUUCGUUGGGCUCUUUAGCGCUUGUUGCGAUAGUUUAAAUGCCGUUUGCUAACAGGCUAAAUUAGCCUAAAUGCUACCUUCGUGCCAGACGCCUGGGCGGGAAGGCGGGACUUCCGGUGACGUCACGGAUGAGACCUAUGUGUCAGAUCCUGUCCUGCGUGUGGUCAGGACAUCGUCCCUUCAUCGUCAUCAUCACGGCCAGGAAAUAAAGGAAGUGUUGACUGACCUAAGAGGAGCAGCUUGAGCUCCCUGCGAGAGUCCUUCUUGUCUCUCUUCAGCUGCUUCUCGAUCUCCCCGUUGAUGCGCUGCUUCUCCCUGACCUCCGCCGACACGCAGCAUCCUGCCAUCUUUGCAGGAACAGUGCGGCUCUCCCGGAAGCGGACGCUCACUAUUUGGUGGAGUCGGAGAGCUGGUACUCCCUCCUUCGAUCGUAACACUCCUGGAUGCCCGGGUCGUUCCAUAAGCUCUUGAUGGCGUCUACGUAAGGGUUCUCAAACUUGGUGGACCUUCUCCACGUCCACAUCUCUCACGAUGUUGGCGUUUGCCUGGGGACAAAAGACCACAGAGGAAGACUCUUUAUCAAACAACCACAGGUAAGGCGAAUGCUAAUCAUCGACGUUUUCUAUAUUAGGACGCCCUGAGGCUCG